CCUACGGGGGGCAGCAGUGGGGAAUAUUGGACAAUGGGCGAAAGCCUGAUCCAGCCAUGCCGCGUGUGUGAAGAAGGCCUUCGGGUUGUAAAGCACUUUCAGUGGGGAAGAAAGCCUUGGGGCUAAUACCCUCGAGGAAGGACAUCACCCACAGAAGAAGCACCGGCUAACUCCGUGCCAGCAGCCGCGGUAAUACGGAGGGUGCGAGCGUUAAUCGGAAUUACUGGGCGUAAAGCGCGCGUAGGCGGUCUGAUAAGCCGGUUGUGAAAGCCCCGGGCUCAACCUGGGAACGGCAUCCGGAACUGUCAGGCUAGAGUGCAGGAGAGGAAGGUAAAAUUCCCGGUGUAGCGGUGAAAUGCGAAGAGAUCGGGAGGAAUACCAGUGGCGAAGGCGGCCUUCGGGACUGACACGGACGCUGAGGUGCGAAAGCGUGGGUAGCAAACAGGAUUAGAUACCCCAUAGUC
rnacentral:rRNA from 1 species